AUUGAAGGGUCGCGAGAGGCUAUGAUACAGGAUCAGUAGUGUAUAAGCCGUCCGUUUGAACUUUAAUUUGGAAUCAUAGGCAGAUGGGAUCACGGCCUCUUUGUGGUGCUUGCAGAUUUAAAACUAGACGGCACAUGGAGGGAGGAAAAAAAACCUGCAAUGCAGAUUCAUUCAUUAAACAUGAAAGGUUAGUGCUAGAGAGGAUAAACAUUUAGACGUCUAGGUAAAUACAGAAAUAUACUUAAUUCCCCUCACUUUCCUCCUACCAUAACCCUCAACUAUCUCUAUUGUAUUUUCUAUUGUUAUUACAAGUAACUUUCUUUUAUAUCCCAGUGGGAAUAAGUGUACCUGAAUGACUUAUUUAUACCUUAAUCGCAGUCUAUCUGCAAAACUUUUAUUCCACCUGCAGCCGCGGGGGAAACCAGCUUUAUCUAUAAUCUAUCUAUCUAUCUAUCUAUCUAUCUAUCUAUCUAUCUAUCUAUCUGCCUAUUUACUCUUUCGUUGCUUCUUCCUUGCGUCUCCUCGGACUAUUUUUAAAGCUCUCUUGGAAGGUAUGCCGGAGCCAAGCCCCGCUGUAUAACCGGGGACACGGCAGAGCAGGAGCGAGCUGUUUUCAGUUUAAAAGGCGGGCGGGGGGCAGAAGAAGAGUGUGCUAUGAAUUGAUCCGCCUGAGCCGGGAGGCGAGCGACAAAAGCCACAUUCUGCAGGAGGAGCCGUGAGUGCUGCUGCUGUGCGUCGCGGGGAGCUGCUGAGCGCAGCCCAGGUGGCGUCUGCGCGGAGGUGUGGGUGCGUGUCCGUGGGUGCGUGUUGGUGACCUCUUAGGCCCGAGGACGCUGUAGUUCCACCUUAUCUGAAAACAAAAGACUUUCCAACUGUGAGAGUAAAAUCCGCCCUCCCCCCUGCCCAUUCCCCGGCUGUGUCGUAUUAAGAAGGAGCUUUCAUUGUUUAUUUCUAAAUAUUUGUGAAGCAGACAGUGUAUGGGUUAACCUAAUUAACACAUCCAUACUGUAUAUUCGUGGACCAAACGGUAAGGCGAAUUUCUAAUGCGAUGGUUGAAUGUGAUAGUCAUUUCUGUGUUACAGGAGAUUACAGCAACACUGGAGCAUUUCCAGAUUGUAGAUGGUUUUAGAUGUUGAAUUUCCAGAUGAGUAUUUACCAUCAUAACUAAUUUAAGACCAUUAUUAAAUAGAAAUUCUCAGCAGGGCUCUUUAAUGAUGGAACACGUUACUAAUUACAGAGUUUACGCUCUGUUUUGGCUAAGCAGUCUAGAGGGAUGGGAUUGUGCUCUGCAUGCAAAGCCAAUAUUACUAACGAGGAGGCAUCAUACCCCUAACAUUUCAAUCAUAUUAUUAAAGAAAACCACUUCUUGCCUUAUCUGCGCGAGAAGAUAGCAAAAGCAUUUUGUUUAUCGGGCUCUGGAAAUAGCUGGAAUAGAGAGCGGGAUCCCUCCCCUGCUUCCCCCUGCUCCCAGCGGUGUGGCCUCGGCAGCCGGCCGGCGGCGGGGCUGUCCAAGCGGGCCGCCCCGCUCCCCGCCGUUCGCUAGGGCUCGUUGCCCGCCGUCCCUGCCCUGCCGGGGCCGGUCCGCAGCGGGAAGGCUCUGCCUGGCACUUCGCGCCGGGGGGACACCCAGCCAGCAAGUGCUUAAAAGGAGAGGGCAGCUAGGGAGCCUUACCCGCGGCCCCCAAAAGUCAGGCGCACAGAUGCACACCUACCAGACAGCUGCACAGAAAUGGUGUGUGCAGGUAGAUACGUACAAACAUCCGUGUAAGUAAUGGGUAUGUAGUUUUGGUGUUCCCCCCCUCGUCCUCUGUAAGUCCUGGGAAGCGGCCGGUGUGUUUUUCCCGGAGGACACCGACGCUCCCGUCGAAGCCCGAGGAAGCAGAUGCGCGCCACGAGGUAUUUGCAAGCACAGUCGCGUAUUUCCCAUUUGCCCCCCCCCAGUCUGGCCUUCCAGUAUCCGGAAAUCGAGGACGCACAAGAACACAGACCAAUGGUCAGAGGCUUCAAAGGUUUUGUCCUCUCCUUGUCUUUUAAAUAACCCUUUCAUGCCAUCUGAACAACAAUCUGAAUGUAAGAAUCUUCGGAUGGAUUUGACGGAAAUUAAAUUGUCUCCCCCCACUG